ACGAAAAAUAACGAUACGGGACUCAUCCGAGGCCCCGUAAUCGGAAUGAGUACACUCUAAACCCUUUAACGAGGAUCAAUUGGAGGGCAAGUCUGGUGCCAGCAGCCGCGGUAAUUCCAGCUCCAAUAGCGUAUAUUAAAGUUGUUGCGGUUAAAAAGCUCGUAGUCGAAUUUGUGUCCCGCGCCGCCGGUUCAUCGCUCGCGGUGUCAACUGGCGUGUCCGCGGGACGUCCUGCCGGUGGGCUUAGCCCCUGCGGGCGGCCCAAUCUCAAUCCCACCGCGGUGCUCUUCACUGAGUGUCGAGGUGGGCCGGCACGUUUACUUUGAACAAAUUAGAGUGCUUAAAGCAGGCUAAAACAUCGCCUGAAUACUGUGUGCAUGGAAUAAUGGAAUAGGACCUCGGUUCUAUUUUGUUGGUUUUCGGAACCCCGAGGUAAUGAUUAAUAGGAACGGAUGGGGGCAUUCGUAUUGCGACGUUAGAGGUGAAAUUCUUGGAUCGUCGCAAGACGGACAGAAGCGAAAGCAUUUGCCAAAAACGCUUUCAUUGAUCAAGAACGAAAGUUAGAGGUUCGAAGGCGAUCAGAUACCGCCCUAGUUCUAACCAUAAACGAUGCCAGCUAGCGAUCCGCCGACGUUCCUCCGAUGACUCGGCGGGCAGCUUCCGGGAAACCAAAGCUUUUGGGUUCCGGGGGAAGUAUGGUUGCAAAGCUGAAACUUAAAGGAAUUGACGGAAGGGCACCACCAGGAGUGGAGCCUGCGGCUUAAUUUGACUCAACACGGGAAACCUCACCAGGCCCGGACACCGGAAGGAUUGACAGAUUGAGAGC
rnacentral:rRNA from 2 species